rnacentral:rRNA from 1 species
GAUGAACGCUGGCGGCGUGCCUAAUACAUGCAAGUCGAACGCUUCACUUCGGUGAAGAGUGGCGAACGGGUGAGUAAUACAUAAGUAACCUGGCAUCUACAGGGGGAUAACUGAUGGAAACGUCAGCUAAGACCGCAUAGGUGUAGAGAUCGCAUGAACUCUAUAUGAAAAGUGCUACGGGACUGGUAGAUGAUGGACUUAUGGCGCAUUAGCUUGUUGGUAGGGUAACGGCCUACCAAGGCGACGAUGCGUAGCCGACCUGAGAGGGUGACCGGCCACACUGGGGCUUGGACUCCGUCCAGACGCCUACGGGAGGCAGCAGUAGGGAAUUUUCGGCCAUUGGGGAAACCCUGACCGAGCAACGCCGCGUGAAGGAAGAAGUAAUUCGUUAUGUAAACUUCUGUCAUAGAGGAAGAACGGUGGAUAUAGGGAAUGAUAUCCAAGUGACGGUACUCUAUAAGAAAGCCACGGCUAACUACGUG